UACGUAGGGGGCAAGCGUUGUCCGGAUUUAUUGGGCGUAAAGCGCUCGCAGGUGGUCCGAUGCGUCGUGCGUGAAAGACCCCGGCUCAACUGGGGAGGGUCGUGCGAUACGGUCGGACUGGAGGCCAGUAGGGGGAUGCGGAAUUCCGGGUGUAGUGGUGGAAUGCGUAGAGAUCCGGAGGAACACCAGCGGCGAAGGCGGCAUCCUGGACGUGGUC
rnacentral:rRNA from 1 species